UACAGAGGUCUCAAGCGUUGUUCGGAUUCAUUGGGCGUAAAGGGUGCGUAGGCGGCGCGGUAAGUCGGGUGUGAAAUCUCGGGGCUUAACUCCGAAACUGCAUUCGAUGCUGCCGUGCUUGAGGACUGGAGAGGAGACUGGAAUUUACGGUGUAGCGGUGAAAUGCGUAGAUAUCGUAAGGAAGACCAGUGGCGAAGGCGGGUCUCUGGACAGUUCCUGACGCUGAGGCGCGAAAGCUAGGGGAGCAAACGGG
rnacentral:rRNA from 1 species